AGAAAGCAGCCACUCCCGCCUUCAGUGUGGAGCCCAGGCCGCACCCAGCCUGGAGUCCGGGGCCUCGGGCAAGCUGCCUCCCUUCCAGGCCGGCGUGGGCCACUCCAGGACCCCGGGACUCCCUGCCCUCACUUUCACAGAGGCAGCUGGGUGUUCUGGGUGCACAGCUCCUGUCAGCAGAGCAGGCUCGGGAGCCCACUCGGCUUCAGGCAACCGUCAGCAAAAAACAGUAACAGCACGAUCCCUCCUGCUCACAGGCACCUUCCAUGCCAACAAGUCCUGCAGGAAAAGCCCAGAUGACUCCAGGAUGGGCCCCUGACUUCGAGGCAGGCCAGCCCCCUCGUUUCUUCACUUUUUUGACCCAUGAGGAAACAGAAGCAUUCAUUAGCCAGAAGCAUGUGGACGUCCAUGCAGCCGGCAGCACCAUGGCCUGGGCCAGCAGGGGCCGAGAACAGGACAUCUGAUUCUUUCCUCACCUUCCCUCAAGGACAAGGUCAGCCAACAGAGCAUGGGGGCGAGGAUGUGAUGGAAGAAUGCAUUUAUAACCAAGGAGAGCCAGACUGCCCUCACCGGCUAAGAUUAGGCAAUAAAGGAGUGCUGAGGUUUGCAUAGAAUCAGGGCUGCCUCCCUGGAAGAAGAGGACUGUGAACCAGGUUGAGAAGGCCCCAGGACUGAAGCAUGUACCUAACUUCUGGUGUUAAAAUGUCUGCACAGUUCUACCCGCCUGCUUGCUGGGCAGGGCAGCCACCUGCCAGCCGCUCCUGUGACCUCCGAGAAUGGCUGAAACCUUUGAGGUGUCUGUCCAACACCAGCCGGGAAGUAUUACAGCUGGGGCGUGUGUUUGGGGCUAUUUCUGAGUGUCGCGGGAGAGAAGAUGAAACGGCUGGUAUUUCCUGAUCACUCUCACUGGCUCAUUGUGACCUUCGUGUAGCUUCAAGCAGUUCUGAGACUCCAGGAGCUGGGGUUGUAUCAGACACUGCCAGUGAGUGGGGCAGACACGUUGAAGCAAGCUGGGCGUGGCAGAAAAUCAGGUGUGCCCGAGGCCUGAGCACCCCCUCCCUUUUGGUCCUCACAGCAGUAGGAUUCCCCCGUAGACAUCUGGGUCCUGAUUGCGUGGCUCUGGAGAGGGAGGAGAGGUUGUCCACAGCACCACCCCCUCUGCAGACACACACACACACACACACACACACGCACGCACACACCCACGCACACGCGCGGGCGCACACGCAAACACACACAUGCACACACACACACACACAUAUCUGAACAGGCCAGGCUGGGUCAAUGCAGUGUCUCGCUGUGAAACGAGGGGAGAGCAGACGCCCUGUCUGAGAGCCACAUGAGCCAGCAGCCUGCGUAGGAGCAGCAAACCAUGUCCGAGACUCUGGGUGGGCCUCGUUUAUGUCUGGAAAGAAAAGGGAUUCUGAGGAGGGCUGGGGCAGGCAGCCGGCUGCAGGGCAGGGAGCUCACCCCCAUUCACCGCAGCCCGCAGCCCACCAUAUGGGCCAGGAGGCUCAGCAGGCCAGCCCUGGCUGCCAGGGUUCCCCGGGGACAGCUUUGGAGCGCCUGGCUCAGCGGCGC
rnacentral:lncRNA from 10 species